rnacentral:rRNA from 1 species
UACAGAGGUCUCAAGCGUUGUUCGGAUUCAUUGGGCGUAAAGGGUGCGUAGGCGGCGCGGGAAGUCGGGUGUGAAAGCCCUUGGCUCAACUGAGGAAGUGCAUCUGAAACUGGCGAGCUAGAGUAUGUAAGAGGGUCGCGGAAUUCCCGGUGUAGCGGUGGAAUGCGCAGAUAUCAGGAGGAACACCAAUAGCGAAGGCAGCUCGCUGGGACGGUACUGACGCUAAGGCGCGAAAGCGUGGGGAGCGAACAGG